AAAAGUUUAGGGGAGGGUUAUUUGUUUAGUUGUCUGUUAUCAUGAUAACGUUGGGGAAAUCUUCCUCCAGGCUUAUCCAGUGUUAGCAGACUAGGCCCCUGUUUCCUUGUUGGCUGUUGGAUUGAGCACCUGGUAGCUUCCCAUGACCCUGCCUUAGUAUCCCUGAAUCUCUAGGCUUUCAGCAGUCCCUGACCCUUUUUCUGUUUCUCUGGCACAAGUAGGUCAUACAAGAAAAAUUGUCUGUAUUAAUGUAUCUGAUUAAUCACCUUGACUACAUCUUGGAAGUCCCUUUGGCUCCUCUGGGUGCAAAGCAGACCAGAUUCUAGUCUCAUGUCUCCUGCCAGCUCUUUUACUGAUGAUCACAAGUGACCACCACUCUGACCCGGACUCAGCCUCCACCUCAAGAACUAACAUCAAGAACAGAGCCUAAGGAAGAAAGGCCGCCAUGUUGAUUCUCAACGUUAAAAGCACUAAAUUGUUUGCCUAAUGCUCCUCCAGCUUGGGAAAUGCUGGCCUGUUUGCUCAAGUCCUGGAUGCCAGACAUUCCUGAGACUCCACUCCACACACACCCCUUCCUCCUUGCCAAUCACUUCAGAUUGGGAGAGCAAGCUACCACCAGUGUGCUAAGGGCCAAAGAGCCUUCCUUGAUGCCGGUCCAUGUAACGAACGUCCACUCAGUUCUGUGGGAAUUGGAGCUCCUGAUUGAAUACCUUUCUCCAGUUAAAAGAUGUCACUUAUACUGUGAACUCUUGUGGAGAGUGAUGUCUCUUAUCUUGUGAGGGUAGAAUGGCAUGCACUGUCCAUUCCAAUGUUCUCUGAGUUACUAAAACUUAUUAAAUUUGGUGA